AAGCCUGAUGCAGCGACGCCGCGUGAGGGAUGACGGCCUUCGGGUUGUAAACCUCUUUCACCCGGGAAGAAGCCUAAGUGACGGUACCUGCAGACUAAGCGCCUCCUAAUUACGUGCCACCACCGCGGUUACGCAGGGCGCAGCGUUAUCUGGAAUUAUUGGGCGUAAAGAGCUCGUAUGCGGUUUGUCGCGUCUGCCGCGAAAGUCUGGGGCUCAACUCCAGAUCUGCGGUGGGUACGGGCAGACUCGAGUGAUGAGGGGAGACUGGAUUUCCUGGUGUAGGGUUAUGCGCACAGACUAGGAGGGACACCAUGGCGAAGGAGGUCUCUGGGCAUUAACUGACCCUGAGGAGCGAAAGCAUGGGGAGCGAACAGGAUUAGAUACCCUGGUAGUCCAUGCCGUAAACUUUGGGCACUAGGUGUGGGGGACAUUCCACUUUUUCCUCGUCGUAGCUCACUCAUUAAGUGCCCCGCCUGGGGUGUCCGCCCCGAAG
rnacentral:rRNA from 1 species